rnacentral:misc_RNA from 1 species
UAGUGAUUAUGAAUGGUUGCCUUCUGUGCUGGCCGCGGCAAGUGCACGUUGGUGACUUUCAUCCAACACCCUUGUGAACCUUUGGCCUCUUGCUAGCUUCGGCUGGCUGAGGAUUUACACAAACUCGCAUGUAUUGAGGACCCAUUUUGUGCGCAAGCACUAAUUAUAUACAACUUUCAACAACGGAUCUCUUGGCUCUCGCAUCGAUGAAGAACGCAGCGAAAUGCGAUAAGUAAUGUGAAUUGCAGAAUUCAGUGAAUCAUCGAAUCUUUGAACGCACCUUGCACCCUUUGGUAUUCCGAAGGGUAUGCUCGUUUGAGUGUCAUUGUACUCUCACACUCCUAAUUGCUUUGGAUUGGGAGCGGUGGACUUGGGUGCUGCUGCUUGACCGUGGCUCACCUGAAAUAUGUUAGUGCACCUCCUGGUUGGACAUAGUACGGCGUGAUAAGUGUCUUCGCCGGCUCCUCGCAACGAGGGUGGCCGAUCGGGAGCUCUGUGCUUCAAACUGUCUUUGGACAAUCUUCUGGCGACUUG